AGAGACCGGCGCACGGGUGCGUAACGCGUAUGCAAUCUACCUUUUACAGGGGAAUAGCCCAGAGAAAUUUGGAUUAAUGCCCCAUAGUAUAGUUUUUUCGCAUGAAGAGAUUAUUAAAGUUCCAACGGUAAAAGAUGAGCAUGCGUCCCAUUAGCUAGAUGGUAAGGUAACGGCUUACCAUGGCGACGAUGGGUAGGGGUCCUGAGAGGGAGAUCCCCCACACUGGUACUGAGACACGGACCAGACUCCUACGGGAGGCAGCAGUGAGGAAUAUUGGUCAAUGGACGCAAGUCUGAACCAGCCAUGCCGCGUGCAGGAUGACGGUCCUAUGGAUUGUAAACUGCUUUUGUACGAGAAGAAACACUCCUACGUGUAGGAGCUUGACGGUAUCGUAAGAAUAAGGAUCGGCUAACUCCGUGCCAGCAGCCGCGGUAAUACGGAGGAUCCAAGCGUUAUCCGGAAUCAUUGGGUUUAAAGGGUCCGUAGGCGGUUUAGUAAGUCAGUGGUGAAAGCCCAUCGCUCAACGGUGGAACGGCCAUUGAUACUGCUAAACUUGAAUUAUUAGGAAGUAACUAGAAUAUGUAGUGUAGCGGUGAAAUGCUUAGAGAUUACAUGGAAUACCAAUUGCGAAGGCAGGUUACUACUAAUGGAUUGACGCUGAUGGACGAAAGCGUGGGUAGCGAACAGGAUUAGAUACCCUGGUAGUCCACGCCGUAAACGAUGGAUACUAGCUGUUGGGAGCAAUUUCAGUGGCUA
rnacentral:rRNA from 1 species